GGUGACCAACUGUCCUGGUUUGUCUGGGACUGAGGCAGGGUUCAGUUUUAAAACUGGGACAGUCCUAGACAAACUGGGAUGAGUUGGUUACUCAAGC
ensembl:miRNA